rnacentral:lncRNA from 1 species
GAUCAUUUCACCUUCUUUGUCUCACGAACUUUCCCUCUAUAUUAAUAAUAAUAAUAAUAAAGCCCUGCCCCGUUUUAAGUAUUGUAGCCCCUGAUCACUGAUACCCUGUCCAAGUGACGUAGGGCCCCAUAACGUAUGUCAAGGCUCUGCCUAAAUUCGUUGGGGUUCUGUCUCGUGACGUAGGAAUAAAGUGGAAUUGGGUUACUAUACUUAAUGUGAGUGCACUAUAUAUUUUAUUAAAUAACCCAGGAGUGAUACCCAAAAUAUAACAACCCUCCUAAAACACCCCUGACACCCUACACUUCCUAAAAUACACCCCGUAUGUGAAAACCGAGCCCGAAAUACAAUAUAGCAUUAAAAAUAAAUUCAAAACAAGAAAAAGUAAGUUGAGGCGGGCCGCGUAAGAUCCUCGCUUAGUUAACGCGGGCCGCGAGAGAUCGAAGUUGUGGCGUAGCCCGGUGAUGACACGUGUCAUCAUCGUGGCGGGUCUAGAGGGUGAGCCGGACAAGCUAGUCCGUUGACCAGGGUUGACGCGGGCCGCGUAACCCCUGUCCUUUCUUUACGCGGGCCGCGUGGGAACCAGUUUCAGCAACUAUAAAUAGAGGCCAUCGGAUUUCAUUUGGAAUUCGCUCACGAACGUUUUCUUCUCUCAAAUCUGAAUAUUAGGCAUAAUACUCGGGUAUUAUACCCCCCUAAUUAGCAAAGCUCUGCCUCGUUACUAUAACCAGGGAAUCACAAAGGAAAGCCUUAUAAUAGCAAUGUGAGUGAUCCUUCUUUUUAUAUGCUCAUUUUUGUGAGUAAACCUUUUGUUGAAUGUUUUUACAAAACCUCAUUUAAUUAAAUAUAUACAAAGCAGUUAUUGAGUAUUUGUAAAGAAUACAAUUAUAGUGGGUAUGUUGGGGUUUUGUAUACAAAAUUGGUUACUGGCGUGGUAACAUCCCAUAUGUUGAGUAUGACCGUACCACUGAUGUUAAUUGUGAUGUCUUGAAUACAAAUGUAAUUGCGGAUGUGCCCUCAAUACUGCAAAUUGGUUUCUAUUUAAACUUGAUUAAACUGGGAUUCACUCACCAGUAUUUCCUGCUGAUAAAAUGUUUUAAACACGUGUUUCAGGUAACUUAGUGUGAAGCCAAUAAAAGCCAGCUGGAGAGCACUGAAGGCUUGGAAAAGUGGCUAUAAAGUUACCUAAAAUAAAAUAGCUGUUUUUAUUAAUAAAAAUAGGAUUUAUUCCUAUGAAAGCGUGCAUACUGAAAACUUGGGUUUUACCCAUGUGUUUAAUAUUAUGAAAAUGUGGUGGUUUUACUCUGAUAAAAAUAUUUCCUAACUACGGUCCUGAUGAAAAAAUUCCGCUGCCAAAUUAGACAAUACACGAUACCACCGAAACUGGCUCACGGCCGCCCGUUCCUGAGGGGUUGGGGGUUGUGACAGAAGGUGGUAUCAGAGCUAUGCCACUGGUCUAAGCCAAAGAAGUGUUCUGCUGACACUUAAGUUUUAAAUUCUGUGUUAGGAAAUUAAUAUAACAAUUUAUGUGUUAUUCUGUAGUAUGAGUAACCAAUAUAACUAGACGUACCCAUAGGCUACCUCGGCAGAUGUGUUAUACUACACUCUUAUACAAUUAGUAACUUAAGGUAUCACCUUGAGUGGGAUCUCUUCUUAAAUAAAUGAAUGUACCGUAAUAUAUAUGUGUGUGUGUAUACACUACUAUGUGUAUAUCAACCUUACUAAGAAAUAUUAAUACACGUUCAUUUUGUAAAAAUAUUCAUAGAUUAUGGGUAUAAAUUUUAGAUAUUAAAUCUAAAAUCAUAAUUUAUGGUAAAUUUACAUAAGAAAUCGAAUAACAUUAUGUAUCCACCUUAAAUAAAUAAAAGUAUGUUAUUUUAAGUUGAUUCAUAGACUUCAUGAUCUAUACCAUGAUCUAUCCUUAUGAAUGGUGGUAUAGAUUAUGGUAAAUUCCUGAAUUGACCUUAAAUCCAGAAAUCGUGUUAAUAUACAAUAUUAAUUGUAUGUAAAAUAAUAUACACGUUAUAGUAUAGUAUACUUCUAAUAAACAUACGUUAUAAUACACCAUUAAAAAAAAUGGGUCUGAUGGUUUGUACAAUCGGUAUAAAAGAGAGUGAAUAGUUAAUGUUUUUAAGAAAUAAAAAUAAGGGAACCUCAUUUCAACCAAAUCCCUCAGGAUACUCAGCAGAUACUGAGAAGGGAAUUUUUAUUCGUAAGGCACAGUCUGAGAAACCAUUUACCACUAAAAAGAGAAGUAGA